rnacentral:rRNA from 1 species
AGAUUGAACGCUGGCGGCAUGCCUAACACAUGCAAGUCGAACGGGUGUAGCAAUACUCUAGUGGCGGACGGGUGAGGAAUACGUAGGAAUUUGCCCUUAAGUGGGGGAUAACCCGGGGAAACCCGGAUUAAUACCGCAUGACCUCGAAAGAGCAAAGUGGGGGAUCGCAAGACCUCACGCUUUUGGAGAAGCCUACGUCGGAUUAGCUAGUUGGUGAGGUAAUGGCUCACCAAGGCGACGAUCCGUAACUGGUCUGAGAGGAUGAUCAGUCACACCGGAACUGAGACACGGUCCGGACUCCUACGGGAGCAGCAGUGGGGAAUAUGGACAAUGGGCGCAAGCCUGAUCCAGCAAUGCCGCGUGUGUGAAGAAGGCCUUCGGUUAGUAAGUCAACGUUUAAGUUAGGGAAAGUAAAAACGUCGACUACUAACACUAGUAGA